rnacentral:rRNA from 1 species
UGCCAGGCUCCUACGGGAGGCAGCAGUGGGGGAUAUUGGACAAUGGGGGAAACCCUGAUCCAGCGAUGCCGCGUGAGGGAAGAAGGUUUUCGGAUUGUAAACCUCUGUGGACAGGGACGAUAAUGACGGUACCUGUCAAGAAAGCCACGGCUAACUACGUGCCAGCAGCCGCGGUAAUACGUAGGUGGCGAGCGUUGUCCGGAUUUACCGGGUGUAAAGGGCGUGUAGCCGGGUUGACAAGUCAGAUGUGAAAUCCUGCGGCUUAACCGCAGAACUGCAUUUGAAACUGUUGAUCUUGAGUACUGGAGAGGCAGACGGAAUUCCUAGUGUAGCGGUGAAAUGCGUAGAUAUUAGGAGGAACACCAGUGGCGAAGGCGGUCUGCUGGACAGCAACUGACGGUGAGGCGCGAAAGCGUGGGGAGCAAACAGGAUUAGAUACCCGGGUAC